rnacentral:rRNA from 1 species
UACAGAGGUGGCAAGCGUUGUUCGGAAUUACUGGGCGUAAAGGGCGCGUAGGCGGUCCUUCAAGUCCCGCGUGAAAUCCCCCGGCUCAACUGGGGAACUGCGCGGGAAACUGUAGGGCUUGAGUUCGGGAGAGGGAAGCGGAAUUCCGGGUGUAGCGGUGAAAUGCGUAGAUAUCGGAAGGAACACCAGUGGCGAAAGCGGCUUCCUGGUCCAGCACCGACGUUCAGGCACGAAAGCGUGGGGAGCAAACAGG